ACGUCAUUGAUAUCUGUGUAAAACACAUGAGUACACCACAGCGAACAAAAUUGCUGGUUUGUAAAACCUUGGAAGAGGCUUUAAGGAAAAUCCAGGAGCUGGAAAUGCAAGAUAAUUUGUGCCUGACUCUAGUACGAAGAAUUUUGGGAAGACGAUUUGGCCUAAAAAGACCUGUAGCAGUUAACAAGCUAUUAGAUGCACAAUAGCACAAAAUGACCACCACCACUAUCACCCUAAAGUGUGUGCUUGGUGUCUGUCUACACGUGCUUGCUUCUGGAAUGUUGAAGAACAAACUGUGUUGAAACGCCAACUGUUGGUCAUGGACCUUUGCCGCCCUUCAUCCAGAGCCUUCCACAGAGAUGGCAGAUAUAUCGCUGCCUGGACCAACAGUUGACCAUGCCGUUGAGUCCAUGAAAACAUCUACAGAAUUACAUCUGCGGCCGUGGCUAUUAAUGGAUACAUUCUGCACCACUUCCAUGUGCUGUCAGUUUGAAACGUCUCUACUCUGACAGAAGGAAGGGAAUGAAUACCCAGGAUUGUUCCUCAGGAAAAUCUCUUCAACAAGCUGUUGUCAGUUUGCAUGCUCUUUGGAUGGAAUUACCCUACCUUGGCUUGCAGAGAAUCUGUGAUAUGAAAGACCUCUUUUGUGCUGCAUUGUGUCAUUGAUUUAUUGUAUUUUAUAUGUAUUAUGCCACUAUUGUAAAAACAAAUGGGCAUAUGUUUUAGCAUAUGUUUUCAAACAGACACAUUUAUAUUUCAAACAGACACAUUUAUAUUUUUGAAUAAUUUGAAAAUACAUUUUGUAGGUUGACUUCACACCAUGAAACAUUAAUGGUAGGUUAUAUUUGACCAGAACAUGACAAGUAUUGUUUUCGGAGUUUUUUGGUCGAAGGUGAAGGUAAUGGCUAACAGUGGUUAUUCUGCACAAUGACCCUUGAUUUCUUUGACCUAGGACCAUUAAUAUUUAGUGAUUGAUAUAUCAGUCCAACUCCUAUGUGAAAGGGACAUGAUGAAAUUGAGCAAGAGCUUAUUAGCAUUGCAAAUUAUUAUUUGUUCAUUUUUAGCUCGACUAUUCGAAGAAUAGGUGAGCUAUACUAUCAUUAACAAUUCUGCGUUAAAGUUUUCAUUUUAUGUAAUAAAAUCAAGAGUUAAUAUCCAAUGGUAAUCAAACUUGGUCAGACUAUUUGUCGGCAUGUUAUCUUGAAGAUGUAUGAAUAUGGGUCAUCCCUGGUCAAAUUCUAGGUCACUAGGUCACAUCUUAGAGAAAAUAUUUCCAUGUCACAAAUUCAACAUUUUUUUCAUAUCUUUAUGAAACUUGGUCAGAAUAUUUGUCUGCAUACUAUCUUGAAAGUUUUUUAAUAUGGGUCAUCCCGGGUCAAAUUCUAGGUCACUAGGUCAAAUCUUAGGAAAAUCAUUCUACAUCAUAAAUUGAACAAUUUUUGUCAAAUCUUUAUGAAACUUGGUCAGAAUAUUUGUCUGCAUAAUAUCUUAAAAGUUCUAUAAUAUGGGUCAUCCCCGGUCAAAACCUAGGUCACAAGGUCAAAUUUUAGAAGAAAGAAUUCCACAGUCAUAAAAAUUCAUUAAUUUUAGUCAAAUCUUUUUUAAACAUGGUCAUAACAUAAAUUCAAUUGGUAUUUUAUAAACACACAUCCCAAUCAUGAAUUUCAGAUCUAACCAUAUUUUUCAAAAAUUUAAAUUUUAAUUAACUUUAAAAAUAUUUGUGUACAUGAAAUCUUAGAUGAUAAAGUGUGUCAUCUAGGGUCAAAAACUAGGUCUCUGGGACAGAUCUUAUUGGAAAAGCUGAUGUAUUUAUAAAAUGUUCGUUUUUCCUCACACAAAUGGAAUAGUUUCUGUUGAUCAGGUUAUUUGUAUGAAUGAUAUCUCCGAUAAAUAUAAAUAUGGGUCUUUUUGGUUAAAAUACUAGGUCAUUAGCUCAAAUCCUAGGUUUGCAAAAUUGCAUAAAAAAUCAAGCUUUAUGCGGCGUUGCCGCGUUGGCGUCUUGUUAUUUUUUUAUUUUGACAGGCACAUUUUUAUAAUCUUAACCAAAUCAAACUUUGUUUUGUCACAUUGUGAUUCUUAUUCACUUUUUUAUUUGAUUGUUUUAUUGCUUUUUACAGGCACAUAUCACACUAUUAUUGUAUUUACGUCCAAUUCCAAGAGGCGUAGUAGAGCGCACUGUUUUACGACAGCUCUUGUUAACCUGUAAAGUGAAACCUGGUUAUAAAAAUGACAUGACUGUGUCAUUGUGUUGGCAGGCCAGGAGGAGGGCAGCAUCAAAUACAUCUACAAACUUAGUAUACAAAAUAUUAUAAAAUUGCUUUCGGGGCCCAUAGGAUCAAGGUCACUAAAACAAAAAAAUAUUGAAACUUAAUCGCACAACAAAGGCUUAAUUAAUUAGGUUUGUCUGUCAAUCAUUGAAAACUUGUUUUUUGUUUUGCAUUGCAGCAUUUCAUGCUUCAUUUUUAUUUUGUCUCUUUAUUGCAUUUUACCUUUAUCAUUAUUGUAUUCAUUUCUAAGACAAAGCAGCAUAUAGUUGAGGGCACUGCCCCAUGAUAGCUCUUGUAUAUCCUAAAAAGAAUACAAUAGUGAUAUACCCUGAUAUAGGUAGUUUUGGUACAUUAUCACGGUUUUAAUUUUAGCUUUACUGGCCAAAGAUCAGAAUAUCUGAUGUGAUGGUAAUGUGUACGUAGUAUGUGCUUCCUAGCGCCUGUAAACAAUUGCUUGUGAACACCAUACAGUCUUUAGUUAUGAUUGUAUCUCAAUAAAACAGUAUUUAGAUAUCCAAUAGAGCUCGGUUCCUUUCGAAAACCAGUCAGAUCUGCCCAUGCAUGCCUAGAUUAUGGGCCUUGAACGUCUGUGCGACUGUAAACAAUUGCUUGUGAACAUGGUACAGUCUUCAGUUUUAAUUGUAUAUAGAUGAAACUUGUACAGUAUUAAGAUAUCAAUUAGAGCUUGGUUCCUUUCAAAAACCAGAUCUGCCCAUGCAUACCUAGAUUAUGGGCCUCAAAAGUAAAAAAAAAUGCUAUUUUUAGCCAAGUCUACAUGAGCGAAGUCUAUUUUUAGACAAGUUUACAUGUAAAGUCACAAAUUCAUGUGAAAAAUUGUUCAAAUUAGGCCCCUGGGGUCAUUAUUGGCCACGCCACUGGGUUCACCGGUUUGGUAUACUAAAUUGGGAAAUGUUUGAAAAUCUUUAUGUCUGAAACAACUAUGCAGACCCUUGUUAUUUUGAAUAAGGAUUAUUUUAUUGGUCUGCUACCAUGGUUGUUCAAAUUAUGCCCCUAGGGUCAAAACUGGCACUGCCCCCAGGGGUCACAAGUUUUUUAAGAAAUAUUUUCAAAAUCUUCUUGUUUCAAACCACAAGGCUCAUAUCUUUGAUAUUUGUUGUAGAGCAUUAUAAGUAGACCGUCUAGCAAAACAGUUGAAAUUAUGUGCCCUGGGCCGGGGCCACCAUCCAUUUUGUCCUUUUAAAGCUACAAAAAUGAAAUUUUGACCAAUAGUACAGUUUUGUAGCAAAUUUUAUUCUCCUCAGAUGACCUUUACUUGGCACAUAUUAGAAUACUAGUAGUUCAUGCAACUAAUCUGCUUACAACACUUUCUGUUCUCACAAAACGUGAACAAUAUGUUUGUUGGCUAUUACUCAUACAUACAUGCUCUGGAUCAAAAAUAACCACAUGAGCCAUGCCACUAGAGCAUAUGCACUCAUGGGCCUCUUGUUUUUUUUAGAAAAAAAAGCAUACUGACCAACCCUAUUUAUUUUAGAAGUUAGCUGAAACUAAGAACUUUUUUUACCUUACUUUUAUAUUAGAUUGUGUAUUGCUAUGAUUUUUGCUUAAAGCUCCAUUUAAGGUAACUGUUCAUCUCAAAUGUAACAGCUUUUGCCUUCAAACUUAUAAAAUUUCAUUGAACCAGUGGGUUCAUCAUGAUGCACAUCUGUAAAUGUUUCUCCCUAAUAUGGGCUUUUAUGUAUGCAAACAGAACAUUGAACAAUUGGCUUUCCAAGUAAAGUAAACCCUGUCCAGAACAUUUGUCAAAUUGCUGUGUCAGCACUUGUUUGAAUGGAUUUAUUUUAUUUUCAUAUUAUGAUUUCAAAUAAAGUAUUUAAAAAUGUU